GACGAACGCUGGCGGCGUGCUUAACACAUGCAAGUCGAGCGGUAAGGCCCUUUCGGGGGUACGACGAGCGGCGAACGGGUGAGUAACACGUGGGUGACCUGCCCUCAGCUCUGGGAUAAGCCUGGGAAACCGGGUCUAAUACCGGAUAUGACUCCAUGACGCAUGUUGUGGGGUGGAAAGCCUUGUGCGGCUGAGGAUGGGCCCGCGGCCUAUCAGCUUGUUGGUGGGGGAUGGCCUACCAAGGCGACGACGGGUAGCCGGCCUGAGAGGGCGACCGGCCACACUGGGACUGAGACACGGCCCAGACUCCUACGGGAGGCAGCAGUGGGGAAUCUUGCGCAAUGGGCGAAAGCCUGACGCAGCGACGCCGCGUGAGGGAUGACGGCCUGGU
rnacentral:rRNA from 1 species